rnacentral:ncRNA from 1 species
CGUGAGUUGUGAAGGAAGUCGGUGGAAAUAUCUGAUCUAACGUACAGAAACUUCAUAUAAGGCAUAUGACCGUGGGCAAGGUUGCCAAGCAAACUAAAGCCCGAUAGCUAUUCGGAACAGUUAUUGUAAAUGAAGCAGGUAUAAGAUGGAAAGCCA